AUAAAACAAAGUACACCUCGUUAGAAGUAGCUGGUUUUCAGGUUUAAGACUGGCUAUCAACUAAGUUUUUCACCCCAAUUGUAGUCAUUCAUUAGACAAAUAUUUAUUGAGUGUCCAUUAUAAGCCAGGAAUGAGCUUCCAUCUGGCAUGGAAGAAAAACAAUAAUUAAAUAGAAGAGGUUCUCACUAUCCAGAGAUAAUUAGUGUAGAAAAAAAUUCAAGUGAAUUCACCUAAAAUAUGGACCUGAAUUUAUUUCUUUGUAACUUCAUCUUCAAAGGUGAAACUAAAAAUAUGAAAAUAUGUUUAUUUUAUAUUAAACUUAACAAAUGUUAGAUUAAUACUGUGAAAAAGGCACUAAUUCUUAAAUUGAAAGAAAAAUACAUUGGCUGAGUUUGUGUGAGUGAUUUUUCUGGUAAAACUAUAUGACUAAUACAAUUCAACAUCUUUUGCUUUAUAUUUGACUCUAAGCCACGAUCAUAAAGGUCACUUUCCCGAUGGGUUUUCCUUCAUUUUUUGAUAUUCAAAUCAUUCUUUAUUUUUAAAAAGUCAAUCCUGACAGGCUCAUUUUCUUUCAACUGUUUAGUGACCUAAACCUGGAAAGCCGUCAUUUGUCAAUCACUUCCUCCAGCAUAUCUUAUUACCAUCAAGAAAUCCUGCAACUCUUGCAAUAUUUGCAAUUUCACGUUACAAUUCACAGGCAUCAUUUUUACAUGAUAUACAACAUACCACAAUGAGAGACUGAUGGACACAAAGAAUAUGAUUUUAUGAAGAGGACGGAUAUUUGAAUGAAGCAGUAACAGACAGUUGAGAGGGAGUGAAUUCUAGAAGUAAUCAGUUCAUUAGUAGUAAGUGCCUAAUAAUAGUAAGAACUAAGAAAGUGAACACUAUGCUAAUGAAGAUCACUUGAGCAACGUGUGUGUGUGUGUGUGCGUUUGUGUGUCUGUGUGUAUGUGUGAUUAACCUCGUGAGUUUUCUCAGAGUUUCUCUAAAGAAGUUUUGACUGAGUCAUAUAUUAGCCAAAGAAAAGGUAUUAACUAGGUGAAAGUUGGGCAAUAGUAGGUGGGUGUAGAAAGCCAUCCAAGCAGAAAAAAAUAAUGUGUGCAAACAUUCUGGGAUAGUCCCUGGCUUAAAAUUCUUCCAUUUUGAAGAUCAGUGGUAUCUUUCAAGAGUUCCAAAGCUGGUUCAGAUUAGAAACUCCUCAAAAUCAGGGACCAUGUCUGUUUUAUUUGCUUAUAGAAUGCCUAGCACAGCAUAAGUGCUAAAAGACACUUAAUAGUAUUUGAUGAUGAUGAAUGAGACAAUCAGAAGAUGACAGGAAGACAGCUGGAUUGAGAUAGCAGUUCAUUUAGAGACAGCCCUAUUUUUUUUUUAAGCAGAGGGGGCUGCUUUUAAAUGCACCACCUUAAAGAAAACCAAAUAGAAGGCAAUCAAAAAAAAAAAAAGUAAAAAACGUGUGCUGCAGAAACAAAGCAAGAAAGAAAAGAUGAAACCAUGAGAAAGUGGCUUUACAAUGUAAAGGAGGGGGAAAAAGCUGUUACAGCAUAAAACCACUGAACCAGGAAUCAGAUUGGAUCAAUAUUUACUGUGCCUAAAAUAUGCCAAACUAUGUACUCUGGGUAAUCAAACAUGACAAGCAGAAUCCCAGUCCUCAUGACUAGGAGACAGACAAAAUUUCUAAGAGACUGCUGCAAUGUUUUGAUGAAGAUAUGCCCAAAGUAACAUGAGAACACAGAAGACUGACUGGUGACUCAGCAUGGAUUUUACUCCCAAACCAAUUAUUUGCAAGAUAUAUGCCCUGAAGAAGGUCCCUGAAGCUCUUCUAACCAUUAUAGGGUUAUGGUUAAGGGCAUGCAUGCUGAUACCAGACUACAUGGGUUCCAAUCCCCAGCUGGGAGCACAGCACACGUCACCUCUUGUGACUUACUUUCCUCAUCCAUGGAACAUGGUGCCUGCACCACAGGGUUACUGGAGAGCAGUAAACAGGUUAAUAUAUGAAGAGUCCUGCAAACAGACCCCAGCAUGUAUGAGCACUAUUCGUAGUUACUACCUUCCUUUUCUUCAUUUAUAAAAUAAAUACAAAAAAAAAAA